UACGUAGGGUGCAAGCGUUGUCCGGAAUUAUUGGGCGUAAAGAGCUCGUAGGCGGUCUGUCGCGUCGGAUGUGAAAAUCCAGGGCUCAACCCUGGACCUGCAUUCGAUACGGGCAGACUAGAGUUCGGUAGGGGAGACUGGAAUUCCUGGUGUAGCGGUGAAAUGCGCAGAUAUCAGGAGGAACACCGGUGGCGAAGGCGGGUCUCUGGACAGUUACUGACGCUGAGGCACGAAGGCCAGGGGAGCAAACGGG
rnacentral:rRNA from 1 species